CUUACAAAGCAAAGGUUAGUCAUUUUGUCCGUGGGUAUUAGAGUUUUCCAGUGACCGCAAGAAUGACGUGACAUGACGUCUCCUGGUCCUUAGAAGUUUGCUGAGUAAGCAGACGCGGAAGAAGCCAGGAGGAGCUGAAGGCAGCAGGAGGGAAGGCCACACUCCCUACAGGUGUGGCCGAAUGCUGAACAGGGAUACAAGUUGGAAGUCCACCCAAAGCCUAUGAGAAGUCUCCUUAAGGAAAGGUGCGAUUGUUCUCUCUCCUUCUUCCUUCUGGUCAAAAUGCCAAAGCAACUCCAACAGCCAUCUUGGUCAAAGUGGGAACCAUGGGGUCAGAAGUCCCGCCACUCUCAUUGUGGAGCGACAGAAAAGCUGCGUUCUCUGGCCCUCGAGGAAGACUCUAAUUGCUCCAGAAUUCUUGAAGAAUGUUACUAUUUCACAGAUGAAGAAACCAAACCUAGGCAACGGCAAGGCUGUUGUUUCCCCAAGGUGCCCAGGCUGAGAGGCGAAGCCAGGAUCCCACCCCAGACUGAAUCUAGAGUCAGUAAUCCAAGCCACAGGACCGGACCGCACUCCCUCUUGGUUACAGAGGUCGGGUCAUUACCCUCAUCCAUCUAGCCACUCAUCCAAUAAGAACUGACCACACAGCUGGCCCCAGAAGCCUUAAACUCCAAAACAGCGCCUGUUCCCCAGCAUCCAGCCAUCCUCUCUCAGCUUCUUACACACCCCACUGACCAGCUCUACCACCAGACUCUGAGCAGCACACUAACUAGGCAGGCUUCCACUCCUGCAGGUCCCCCAGCCCC